AUUGAACGCUGGCGGCAGGCCUAACACAUGCAAGUCGAACGAGUGGCGGACGGGUGAGCAAUGUCUGGGAAACUGCCUGAUGGAGGGGGAUAACUACUGGAAACGGUAGCUAAUACCGCAUACCAUCAUAUGUGCCCAGAUGGGUUUAUCUUGUUGGUGGGGUAACGGCGCACCAAGGCGACGAUCCCUAGCUGGUCUGAGAGGAUGACCAGCCACACUGGGACUGAGACACGGCCCAGACUCCUACGGGAGGCAGCAGUGGGGAAUAUUGCACAAUGGGCGAAAGCCUGAUGCAGCCAGGCCGCGUGUAUGAAGAAGGCUUUCGGGUUGUAAAGUACUGUCAGCGGGGAGGCGUUACCCGCAGAAGAAGCACCGGCUAACUCCGUGCCAGCAGCCGCGGUAAUUC
rnacentral:rRNA from 1 species